UACGUAGGGGGCAAGCGUUGUCCGGAAUCAUUGGGCGUAAAGAGCGCGUAGGCGGCCCAGUAAGUCCGCUCUGAAAGUCAGGGGCUCAACCCCUGGAUGCGGGUGGAUACUGCUGGGCUAGAGUCCGGAAGAGGUGAGUGGAAUUCCUGGUGUAGCGGUGAAAUGCGCAGAUAUCAGGAGGAACACCGAUGGCGAAGGCAGAUCUCUGGGCCGUAACUGACGCUGAGGAGCGAAAGCAUGGGGAGCGAACAGG
rnacentral:rRNA from 1 species